UUCUUAAAAUGAGCGUUGGUAUUGGGUCUUUUGUACCAGCGCUCUUUUUAGGAGCGCUAGUAUUGAGUCUUUAGCCUUUUUUUCCCUUCCCUCCUUUUUUUUUUUUUUCCCUUCCCUCCAUUUUUUUCCCUCCGUUGAUUUUGGGCCCUAAACUACUUUGUUUUUGAGAGCCAAUUAACACUUUAUUCCCCUUUCCCAUUUCAUUUUGCAAUAACCCUAACACCUUCAGCCGCUCUCUCGCCCUUCCGUCACCGGUCUCUCCUUCCAUCACCGGUCAGCGUUCCAAAACUGGUGGCUUGGUUUAGAGAGACAAAGUCACACACACAGAGAGAAAGAGUCGUCGUUGGGGUUUCCAAAACCUCGUCUACACUAACAGAUCGGACAAGAAUUUUUUUAGUAGGAAAGUUACAAAGCCCUAGCUUUAUUUCUGCAAAGUCGGCAGACGACUCUCUUCGCAAAAGCCCUAGCUCCUUGCCCCCAACCACUGGACAUCGCAAAAGCCUUGGAGCUCCUUGCCUCCUCCUUACAGCUUUCUGAAGUCUAAACAAGGAGGGAUAAAUAAUAAGCUGACAAUGAAACGAAUGGUUAGUGAAGUGGAAAAAGUGAGUGAACAAAAAAGGGGUCACGUGCUACUGAUGCUGCUGCUUCAGAGAUAAUUGAUUCUGAUUCUUUAAAUGCUCCUCCUAGACCUCCAAAUUCAUUUUCUAUCGUGAUGCCAAUUCAAUUAAGGGUAAUUCAAAUCAAAUGGGAAAGAAGACUUGUUGAAGUUGAAGCUGAAGAUGGGGGAGUGGAUGUGCUUUCUGAAUUUCUUUCGCCGUGGAUGGGUUCUUUUUGAAAAACUUGUACUACAUUUGUCAAAAAUUCUUAAUUCUUUUGUGUGACAUUUAGUAGCUUUAUCUAGACAAUUUGGAUUGUAUCUUCAUAUUGGCAGGUUAACUUGUGGUUGUAUAACAUUUUCGCUUUUUGGUUGACAUUUACUAGCCAAUUUCGAUAGUAUUUUUCAUAUUGGCAGUAGGUUU